rnacentral:rRNA from 1 species
CAUUACACAAUAUGAAAGCGGGUUGGGACCUCACCUCGGUGAGGGCUCCAGCUUGUCUGAAUUAUUCACCCAUGUCUUUUGCGCACUUCUUGUUUCCUGGGCGGGUUCGCCCGCCACCAGGACCAAACCAUAAACCUUUUUGUAAUUGCAAUCAGCGUCAGUAAACAAUGUAAUUAUUACAACUUUCAACAACGGAUCUCUUGGUUCUGGCAUCGAUGAAGAACGCAGCGAAAUGCGAUACGUAGUGUGAAUUGCAGAAUUCAGUGAAUCAUCGAAUCUUUGAACGCACAUUGCGCCCUUUGGUAUUCCAAAGGGCAUGCCUGUUCGAGCGUCAUUUGUACCCUCAAGCUUUGCUUGGUGUUGGGCGUCUUUGUCUCUCACGAGACUCGCCUUAAAAUGAUUGGCAGCCGACCUACUGGUUUCGGAGCGCAGCACAAUUCUUGCACUUUGAAUCAGCCUUGGUUGAGCAUCCAUCAAGACCACAUUUUUUUCAACUUUUGACCUCGGAUCAGGUAGGGAUACCCGCUGAACUUAAGCAUAUCA